AAAAUCUUCCAUCCAAUUAAACAUCCGGGUCAAACUGACCCGUCUCUCCCACUCGGGGGUCUCAAAACCCAUUCAAUUUUGCGAGUUUUCUUGUGCAGAAAGAAGAGAAUCCUUUAAAUCUCUGAGAAAAACCGGAGAAAUAGAAAAGGAAAAGUUAAAAGAAGAGGGAUGGAUCCGAAAAUUACAGAGGCUACACAAGCAUUCGAAAGAUUUAAAGCUGCGUUUGCGCGGAAUGAUUUUGACAAGUGUAAUGAACUCCUAUCCCAGCUCAAGGUACAACUCUAAUGACUAAAAAGCCCUAAUUUUUCUAAGAAAUUUUGUGAUUUAGUGAAAGAAAAACUCAUUCUUUACUGGAUUCCGGUUUUGAUUGACAUGAUUGAAAUGUCUUGUGUAGUUGUGAUAUUAUUAGCUUUUAAUGUUAUAUAUGGGUUUGUUCUGUAGAGAUAUUAAUGGGGUUAGAUCUAUGGAUUUUUGCUUGAGCCGAUUAAUUUUGCAAUUUCAGCUCAAUAUUUUUAUUUUGAAUUGCUGAAGUUUCUAGUGAUUCAUGGUUUUGGAGUAGGCUGAAGAUACAACUCCAAUUACUAAAUCCCUGUUUCACUGAGAAUGUUUAAAAAUUUAGAGAAACUGAAACUUGUUCAUUGCUGGGUUUUGCUAUGGCUUGAUUUUAUCUAAAUAUAUUAUGCACCUGUGAUAAUAUUUUGCUGUUGGUGUUUUAGAUAGGUUUGUUCUGUAGAACAAUCAAUGGUGUUUAGAUCUAAUGUUUUUUCUUUGAACUGAUUAAUUUUCGGUUUUGAUUGACUUUAUUAUAAUGUAUUGUGCAUGUGUGAAUCAUGAUAGAAUUCUGCUUUGGGCGUUUUAGGUACACUUGUUUUGAAGAGAAACUCACGGUGCUAGAUCUAAGGCUUUUUGUCUGAGCUGAUCAAUUUUGCAUUUUGUGCUCAAUAUUUGUUCAAUAAUUAAAGUUGGUAGUUUUUCCUGGUUUUACAGUUGGCUGAAGGUACAACUCCAAUGACUAAAAGCCUUAGUUAUCUGAGAAUUUUUUGAUGACUUAGUGAAACAAAAACUCAUUCAUUACUUGGUUUUGGUUUUGGUUUUGCUUUACUCUAUUGAAAUAUAUUGUGUAAGCAUGACUGUGUUUUGCUUUUGGUGUUUUUAGAUUGUUUUGUAGGAUUCAGUAAUGAUUUAUUUAGGUUAUUUGAUUAAUAUGGUGUUGUGCAGUGUAGGAUUCUAUGGGUGGAAAAAAAAAAAAAAGAUUAUUCUCUAAGCAAUGCAUAUAUCUAGUGCUUUUUAUUUGAGAUGAUAACUUUUUCUGUUUUUUCUUAAUAAUAUGAUUGUUGAAUUAUGAAAGACAGCAGUGUUUCAUGGGUUUGCAGUAGUUUGAAAAGAUUAGGUAGUUUCAAUAAUUUCCAUAAGAAAAAAAUUAGUGCGUCAGCGAAUUAUUACUGUGUAUUGGGUAGUAACACUCUUUCUUGUUCAUCAAUGAUCUAUCAAGAAAACUUGUAAUGUGAUUUUGAGUAUUAUAUGUAUUCAUUUUUUUAAAGAAGCUUGCUAAAUGUUUUGAACAUGGAAGUUGAGAAGAAGUGUAAAGCAAUACAACAUGUGUUUUUCUUGUGUUGCACACCAUUAUAAAUAAUAAUUGAGAAAAAGGAGGAAACUAUGAUGUUUUGUGUAGUGAUAGGAAAGAAUGUUGUGGAUGUUAAAGAAAAUGGAAAGUAAGGUCCCCCCCCCCCCCUUCUUAUUUUCUUUUUCUUUUCCUUUCACCAAGUGCUUGCGGAAUGUAGAUUUCUCUUUCAACUCUUUGGAUUCCUAUUUCAACUCAUGAAAGUUCUGUGUUCAUUAUAAUAUUUUAUGUAUGUUAAGAACUGUUUGGUACUUUGACAAAUAAUGACACUGGAAUUUUUAUUGUGGUUGAAAUCGUUAAUCUAUGGUGCACUAUGUUAUUACUGCUGCAGGUUCUGCUGACAAAAUUGAAGAGUCUACCUCCAUUAUUCGAAGAAACGCCAAAUGCAAUCCAUGAAUUGACACUAGCAAGUAACAUUUCGCCCCUAAUAUGACCUGAGAUCUUUCGUGUAAUUCUUCUUGAUUUCCUUUGAAAUUUUUGUUUUGAUUGACUAUUAAUAUUGGUUACUGCAACAUUGUUCAGGGGAAAUAUAUGAGCAUGCGGUUGUUUUAAGUGUGAAGAUUGAGGAUUUGGAUGCUUUUGAGAGGGACUUUUUCCAACUGAAACCUUACUACACAGAUGCACGGUAAGUUGGUAUCUAUACAUUAUUAUAUGUCAAUGCUCAUGUUACCAUGUUUGUACAGUACAUGACAGAGAGGGUGGCAAAAAAGGGGCUGAGCGUUGUAAUCACUUUUGAAAAUGAUCUCUUUUUAUCGUACUUGUUCUUUUUUUUAAUAUAAAUAAAAUAAGAGGACUUCUUCCACAACCUCUUUCAUGAGACAAAGUGAUGUCUGAGUUGAUCCAUACAUCACAUUUUUUGAAUAUUAAUCCUCCGUUUGGAUACAAAUUUGUAAAUGGUUUUUAAAUUCAGUCAAAUUCAAAUAUAAUUUCAACCACACAUAUUAACCCUAUUCAUUACUAUCCACACAUUUUGUGGAACCCACUACCAUUCCUUUUUAUAAACCAUUUAUAAAUUUGCCAAAGGGAAGCUAAAUUGAUGGUUAUUUUCUUUGUCAUUGGGGUUGAAAAUGCAAUAACCUCAAGCAGUUAAGAACUAGGGGCCAAGUGGACACGCAGAGUUUAUUCUUAUGGAUGCUGUCAAAAGAAACUUGGACAUGUUGAGAUUUCCAAAAAAAUGACAAUAUAUGCUGUCUGUCUCACAUUGAAACUCUACUUUCUUGGGAGUCUCAAUGCUUCUUAGAUGUACACAUUUUCCAGUGUUGUAUACAAUUUCAACGGUGUUGGGGGUGUUAUAAGCAUUGAUUUAAUAAAUUGGUACAUUUUGCUAACCUUUGUUUUUUCAAAGGUGACUCUAAUUUUGUGACAUUUUUACAUUUCUGUUUCAUUGAGCCCCGUUUGACAACCAUUAUUUGAACUCUUUUUUUUACAUAUUAAUUUUCAACCAAACAUUUGCACAAUAAAAUAUUCUGCAUGAACCCAAAACUUUUUUCCUAGUUUUUAACAAUACAUUCUCCUAAAAAUCACUAUUCAAAACAUUGUUUUUCCAAAAUAAUGGUUGUCAAACAGGAGCUGAAUAUGAUGUUUCACUUUCCAAUAUAUAACUUAAGAAGACAGUUUCACUAUGUCGGGUUUUUUAUUUUUAAGACAGUGCUUAUGGCCUUUAUUGCAUUUGAUUGUGCAGUGGCCGUCUUCCACAGUCCCCACAGGAGUAUCUGAUCUUGGGUCUCAACCUUCUGAGACUCCUUGUGCAGAACAGAAUUGCUGAAUUCCAUACUGAGUUGGAAUUACUAUCUGAUGUUGCUUUGGAAAAUCCUUGCAUCAAGCAUGCUGUUGAGUUGGAACAAUCCUUCAUGGAGGGAGCUUAUAACCGUGUUUUGAGUGCUAGACAAACCGUACCUCAUGAAACCUACGUUUAUUUUAUGGAUUUGCUGGCAAAUACUGUCAGGUAUGUUUUUUCCUCCCCAUUUUUGGGUUUCAUUUGCUAUUUCAUUUUCUUCUUGGUAGUUGGAGUUGAUUUAGAACUAAUAAUUACCAUUUGUUACAAAAGCCAAUGGGAAGAAGUAGCUUCUUUAGAUAUUUAGAUACUGUUGUCAUUUCCAUCAACCUACUUGGAUCAGUUUCAUGCACAUUAUCAUGAGCUACUAAUUUACUUUACUGUUGCCUUAAUUUUUUAUCGGAACUCUGCUGCAUAAGAUAGUCCUUAAUGUGGGCGUGCUAUACAUAGAUUUCCAGUUGUAUUUUUGCUCCUGAAAUUUUAUUUGUUGUUGGUAGGGACGAGAUAGCUGGAUGCAGCGAGAAGGCAUAUGACAGCCUUUCCAUAAAGGACGCACAGCAAAUUCUUCUGUUUUCUUCAGAUUAUGAACUGGUUGAAUACAUUAAGAAAGUAAGUGCCUUGCAACACAUUGCUCCAAACCUUCACUCUACAUAAACCCAACACUGUGGGGUAAUCAAGUUUCCAAAUUUGGCCUUCUGCUAAUUAAGCCCAUGUUUGAUAGAAUUUUUUUGGAAAAAAUGAGUUUUUGAAUGGUAAAUUUUUGGGGAAUAUGUAGUUAAAAAGUAGAAAAGAGUUUUGUGUUUACGUGAAGAAUAUUUUACUACGAGGAUGUGUGAUUGAAAAUUAGUAUGAAAAAAAUUGUCAAACAGGUGCCAAAUGGGAGCAGCACUAAUUGCUUGUUUGGUAUUGUAGAUGAUAUGAUAAUACGAAGGACAAUAUUAAAGAUAAGAACGAAGUAAAAUUUUAUUUAUUAAAAUGUUAAACCUUGACUAGUACGUUGAGCAUUUACCAUUUGCAAUAUGUAGGAGCAUCCCGAGUGGGAGAUUGAGAAUGGGUUUGUAUUUUUCCAACGAGCCAAAGAAUCGGUGCCUUGCAAGGAAAUUCCAUCUUUGCAACUUAUCAAUCAGACGCUCAGUUAUGCAAGGGAAUUGGAGCGCAUCGUGUGAGGGAUGUGCUGCCCAGUCGUUGUUUGUUCUUCCAUUUUCAUUAUAUUUGGUGGCUAAUCCGUUGUUUCUGUUUGGGAGUAUUUAUUAACUACAUCACAAAAUCCAGAAUGACAAAAUAUUUAAACGUUGUUGGAUUUUUUUAUUUUUUUUGUAUUUUGUCGAUUUGAAUCCAUUUUUCGUAUUUUGUUGUGUUCCCAACAGAAGGCAUAUAAAUCUAGUGGAUAUGAUCUUUUUACUUAUUGGCACAGACCAUUUUAGUGGAUGCACAUAGCAUUACCGAUGAGUGAUGAGUUACCAUAUGGCCCGUAUGGCAUGUCUUUUUGCUUCUACUUCAGAUAGAAGAGUUUUAAGAGAGUUAAGUUUUGUUUGGAAACUAAUUUUCAAAAGAAUUUUUAAUUUCAGAAGUGUCUUUAGAGGAAGAUACAAUGGAC
rnacentral:lncRNA from 1 species